GAUAAAGCAACGGGUGCAAGUUCAUCUUCGAGUCCAGCGAGCUGAUCCUGUUCUCGUGCCAAGAACUCAGCUGCAGGAUCAAUUUCGGCUUCUUCCUUGAAAAAUUUAUCACCAAAUGCGUCCAUGCUGCAGUCUAGCUGGAAGAGAUGGCCAGAUUAAGGAUUCAGAAAUUCAGCAUGACGAUUACCAAAGAAAAUCUGGGGUGGCUUUAUUCAACAGCGGCUUAUUAGAAAUAAAAGGUUACAACCUAGUUUGUGGCUUCGAAAUAUAGUUAAGAUAGGUCUGUUGCGUAAAUCGGUAUUAUUCAACAUGUUGUAAAUGUACUCACCUUUUAUUGGGAAAUGAUCUAAGAAUCUUGAAAGUUUCGCAGCGCUUUUGUUAGACGUCAAAUGUCAAGAGCAGCAAGCACCAAAUCAUCAACGUUCAAUAACCCGUUUGCAAAUCCUCCUUGACGAGGAGGUGGAACCGUAACAAGCAUAGGAAUAGAAGGAAA